GAUCUCUUCUGUAAAAUGGCUGAUCAAAUUAUGGACUGGAAAAGUGAGCAACUUCGUGAAAAAGUGGCGACUCAAAUUGAGAACUCUUUGAAAUGGACCGCUUUAUCUAGCAAAGAGUUGGAAAACUCGGUGUAUCAGAGGGCCAAAACACGGGAGGAAUACCUAGAGCUUGCUGCAAAGUCGAUUCUUAAAGAAAAGGAAAGAAAUAUGACGGACUGGCGAGGUGAAAGUUUUCGUGCUAGAGUCCUUGCUCAAAUUGAGGAAGCUGUGAGAUCAUCAGCUUCUCCAAUGACGAAGUCCAGCAUAGAAAUGGAGAACCAUGUGUUUCAGAAGGCCAAAACACGGGAGGAAUACCUCGCACUUGUGGCAAGACUGAUUCUGCAUGUAAAAGAAAUGAAUGCCAACAGAGACAAACCUAAAGGACCAGGGGGAAUGGGAAUUCCUCAGGGGAUGCCCCCGGGGGCUGCCGGAAUGUCCCAACCCAUGCCUGACCCCAUCGGGGCCCUUCAAAACUUAACAGUUCAAGGCAUAGGCCCUGUAGGACAACAGGGGAUGAUGAAUCAGCAGCAGCACAUCCAGCAACAGCAACGGCUGCUCAUGCAGCAGCAACAGCAACAAAGACACCUACAGAUGCAGCAGCAACAGCAGCGACCACAACUUGAGAGACAGGAUGCGUUCUUGGUGACGUCUGCUCAGCAUGUUCAGACGAUGGCUCAGCCACUCCCUGCAAACUCAGUUGGGAUGACAUACCAACAGGCAAUGCAGGGUGGAGGAAUGCAGCAACCUGGAAUGCAGCAAGGAAUGCAACAGGGUAUGCAACAAGGCGGAAUGCAACAAAGUGGAUUACAGCAAGGGGGAAUGCAACAAGGUGUGAUGCAGCAACCUGGAAUGCAACAGGGUAUGCAACAGGGAGGAAUGCAACAAGGUGGAUUACAGCAAGGGGGAAUGCAACAAGGGGUUAUGCAGCAACCUGGAAUGCAACAAGCAGGUAUGCAACAACCUGGAAUGCCAAUGGUGUCCAUGGGAAUGCAACAACAAAGACCCCAAACAUCCAUUGGGAACAUCAGCCAGGCUUCUCAGAUGGCCUUUGGUCAGCAGAUGCAAGCUGGUCCUAAUGCAAGUUCCCAGCAAGCCGUGCCCUCACCAAAGCCCCCCUCCAUCAGCAGCAUGAUGAUGUCCCCCUCCCCACAGGGAAUGGUCGCCAAUCCUCGUGGAAACUCCCCCAGAGUCCUAAACACACCAGGUGGUCCUAAUUCACCCAGCCCCAACACUCCAAGGUCACAUGAAGAACAAGCCUACCUGGAUAAACUGAAACAGUUACAGAAGUAUAUCGAACCACUGAAGAGAAUGAUCAACCGACUGACCACUGGCAAAGAUGAAGAGAGCAAAAAGGACAUCAGUAAAAUGGAAAAUCUUUUAAAGAUUUUAACAGACCCAUCCAAAAGAUUACCAAUGGCAACCUUACUGAAAUGUGAACAAGUUUUGGACAGCUUGGAAAUGGCAAAGCCUCCUGGAGUCGGAUCUGUCCCAUCUGCCACAACCACCAUUACUUCCACUCCCAUGCACAUGUGUCAGCCAUUACUGGAUGCCGUGGCGACCAACAUGAAAUCUCCCAUGUUUAACCAUGCUUUACAGCAGACGUUUGGGCCUGCAAUGACUGCUUUGUUUGGGGCACCAAUCAGAGCCCCAAGCCCUCCACCAAAAAAGAGGAAGAGAGAAGAGGUUGAGGAAGAUGAAGAUAUUCCUCACAUCCUGCAGGGAGAGAUUGCUCGGCUCGGCAGCCGAUUCCGUGUUAAUCUGGACCCAACGCAGCACUCCAAAUCUAAAGAUGUCCAUCUUGUCUGUAAAAUAGAUGACAAGAAUUUGCCCUGUGUCCCGCCCAUUUCAGUGAAGGUUCCCGAGCUGUACCCCCAGGUCAGCCCCCAGUGUGACACAAAGACACAGGACUAUGCACACAUUUAUGAAGACCCAUGUCCGAGUACUUGUUACAUGGUUGACAUGAUGCACUUUUACCUCUGAAAAGUGUGAUCUGAAAUGAAGGAAAUUUGACCUCUGUUUAGUAGGUUAUAAAAAGGGUACUUCUGGUUUAUGGGGGUUUGACCAUCAGUGGAAAGCAAACCCAACAAAGAGUGAGUAUGUACCCAUUGUCUUUGAUUUGUUUUAUUAUGGUGGCAUCUUUUUUGAAUUUCAGAAUCAAGUCCUUUCCUGUCUUCCAUACAAGAAUCCCUGUCUCGAUUGUUACUUCAGAUGCCCAGUAAAUACACAUUCACAGAGCUGAUGGAUAAAUGGGAAAUGAGUAUCAGAAGAGCCUGUGCCGCACCCUCAUAGUGGCGGUGGGUGAGGGAGAGAGUGUGUGGCAGGAAUACUUAUUGUGGAUGUAUGGACUGUAGCGUUGUAUGCAUGUGUAACUUUGUUGAGCUUAUUUGCCAUGUUGUUGAUUAAAUAAGUUUUACU
rnacentral:misc_RNA from 1 species